rnacentral:rRNA from 1 species
CACGUAGGGGACGAGCGUUGUCCGGAUUCAUUGGGCGUAAAGCGCGCGUAGGCGGCUCGGAAAGUCGGUCGUGAAAUGCCGGGGCUCAACCCCGGGACUGCGUCCGAUACUUCCGGGCUGGAGGUAGGUAGGGGAGAUCGGAAUUCCUGGUGUAGCGGUGAAAUGCGCAGAUAUCAGGAGGAACACCGGUGGCGAAGGCGGAUCUCUGGGCCUUACCUGACGCUGAGGAGCGAAAGCGUGGGGAGCGAACAGG